rnacentral:lncRNA from 1 species
GUCAGCUGACAUGGAGAAGAAGAGAAGUCAGCUGACAUGGAAAAGGAAGAGAAGUCAGCUGAUACGGAGAAGAAGAGAAGUCAGCUGACAUGGAAAAGGAAGAGAAGUCAGCUGACAGUGAGAAGGAAGAUAAGUCAGUUGACACGGAGAAGGAGGAUAAGUCAGCUGAAAGAAGAGAAGUCAGCUUACACGGAAAAGGAAGAGACGUCAGCUGACACGGAGAAGGAAGAGAAGUCAGCUGACACAGAGGAGGCAGAGAAGUCAGCUGACACGGAGAAGGAAGAGAAGUCAGCUGAGACGGAGAAGAAGAGAAGUCAGCUGACAUGGAAAAGGAAGAGAAGUCAGCUGACACGGAGAAGGAAGAGAAGUCAGCUGUCACUGAGAAGAAGAGAAGUCAGCUGACACGGAGAAGAAGAGAAGUCAGCUGACAUGGAAAAGGAAGAGAAGUCAGCUGACACGGAGAAGGAAGAGAAGUCAGCUGACAUGGAGAAGGAAGAGAAGUCAGCUGACACGGAGAAGAAGAGAAGUCAGCUGACAUGGAAAAGGAAGAGAAGUCAGCUGACACGGAGAAGGAAGAGAAGUCAGCUGACACUGAGAAGGAAGAGAAGUCAGCUGACAGGGAGAAGGAAGAGAAGUCAGCUGACACGGAGAAGAAGAGAACUCAGCUGACAGGAAGAAGGAAGAUAAGUCAGCUGACACGGAGAAGAAGAGAAGUCAGCUGACAUGGAAAAGGAAGAGAAGUCAGCUGACACGGAGAAGAAGAGAAGUCAGCUGACAUGGAAAAGGAAGAGAAGUCAGCUGACAACGGAGAAGAAGAGAAGUCAGCUGACAUGGAAAAGGAAGAGAAGUCAGCUGACACGGAGAAGGAAGAGAAGUCAGCUGUCACGGAGAAGAAGAGAAGUCAGCUGACACGGAGAAGGAAGAGAAGUCAGCUGACAGGGAGAAGGAAGAGAAGUCAGCUGACACGGAGAAGAAGAGAAGUCAGCUGACAUGGAAAAGGAAGAGAAGUCAGCUGACACGGAGAAGGAGGAGAAGUCAGCUGACAGGGAGAAGGAAGAGAAGUCAGCUGACAUGGAAAAGGAAGAGAAGUCAGCUGACAGUGAGAAGGAAGAUAAGUCAGUUGACACGGAGAAGGAGGAUAAGUCAGCUGAAAGAAGAGAAGUCAGCUUACACGGAAAAGGAAGAGACGUCAGCUGACACGGAGAAGGAAGAGAAGUCAGCUGACACAGAGGAGGCAGAGAAGUCAGCUGACACGGAGAAGGAAGAGAAGUCAGCUGAGACGGAGAAGAAGAGAAGUCAGCUGACAUGGAAAAGGAAGAGAAGUCAGCUGACACGGAGAAGGAAGAGAAGUCAGCUGACACGGAGAAGGCAGAGAAGUCAGCUGACAUGGAGAAGGAAGAGAAGUCAGCUGACACGGAGAAGGCAGAGAAGUCAGCUGACAUGGAGAAGGAAGAGAAGUCAGCUGA